GACAGAGGGUGCAAACGUUGUUCGGAAUUACUGGGCGUAAAGCGUGCGCAGGCGGUUGUGCAAGACAGAUGUGAAAUCCCCGGGCUUAACCUGGGAACUGCAUUUGUGACUGCACAGCUGGAGUGCGGCAGAGGGGGAUGGAAUUCCGCGUGUAGCAGUGAAAUGCGUAGAUAUGCGGAGGAACACCGAUGCGAAGGCAAUCCCCUGGGCCUGCACUGACGCUCAUGCACGAAAGCGUGGGGAGCAAACAGG
rnacentral:rRNA from 1 species